rnacentral:lncRNA from 1 species
CCUGAACUUCAGGCCCUGAUUGUUGAUUGGGCUUAUUAAAAUAAAAUUAUUCGGUUUGUUAGUUGCUUUUUACACUAGAGGUGUGCAAAUCCGAUCCGAUCGGAUUCGUUCGGAUUUCGGAACAAAAAUAUACAUAUCGGAUCGGAUUGAUAAAGUUGUUUCGUAGUCGGAUCGGAUCGGACUUCGUCACUUCGAUAUUCGAAAUAAAAUGAAUUAAUUAUCCAUGCAUUUAUCAAAGCAUUAUCGCGGUUGUCGCUGCAUUAUUCGUUUGAUACUUCAAUUGGACGUCACUUUGUCAGCUUCUUGACAUGUAUUUCUUGCUUUUAUAUUUAUUUGGUUAAAUAUUUCAACUUGAAUGAGAAAUUUAUUUUGUUAAAGGAUUCAUCGGAUCGGAUUGGAAUUCUUUAUCACAACUCGGAUCCGGGAUUCGGAUUAGACAAUUUCGGAUCGGAUCGGAUUUCAAACAUUAGCCAAUUGUCGGAUUAUAAACGUCCAAUCCGAUCCGAUGCACACGUCUAUUACACACAAUGUUCCAAUUAACACUUUUUUACUGAUCAAGCUUCAUAAACCUCAGAGAAUAUCGUUUUAUUCUGGGCAAAAAAGUCUGAAAAGUCCGAAAAAAUUCCACAAAAGUCCGAAAGUCCGACAAAAAAAUCCCCGGACUUUUGAAAGUCCGAAAGUCCCGUACACUUUUUUCGCGUGAUUUGCCUCUCGCAUUGUUUCACUUUCACUCGUGGUUGUGUGACGUACAUUGGGCCAUUGCAUUUUUAAACCAAACCCCCCCUAUUGAGGACAUCCAUUUUUUGGUCCCCCUCCCCUGGAAUUUCCACAUAUUUUAAGCGAAUUUUGAGCCUCCCCUGUGGAAUUUCCGCAGAUUUUUAUUGAAUUUUAGCCAUUCCCAUGGAAUUUCCGCAAAUUUUUUAUGAACUUUUAACCCAUCCCAUGGAAAUUCCUUGACAGUUUUUGGUCUAGCCCAGUGGAAAUUCCGUAUUGAUUCUUUGAUUAGUAGCUAUCCCUUGGAAAAUUCCUUGCUGAUUUUGAUCCUAUCCUUUGGAAUUUCUUUUCUAUUGUUGACCCUCCCAUGGAAAUUCCAUACGUUUUACUCAUUUUUCUUACCUACCCUUUGGAAUUUCCGCAGGUUUGCUUUAAAAUUUGGACCCUCCCAUGGAAAUUCCUUCAUUUUUGGUUCACUUUUGCAGGGGGUCAUUGGAAAUUCCACAUGUCCUCAAUGGGGGGGUGCAGAUAAAAAAUGCAAUGGCCCAUUUCCAAGGAGAGUCUUUUAUUUUUGUAUUGAAGUUGUAGGUAUCACCCGUCAUAGUUUUUUACUUUACGUAUGUAAUUACUAAUCUUGUCUUGCUAGUAGUGGCAGUUUGUGGCCGAGUGCAUAUUAAUAAACCGUGGCUGGAAAAUAUAAAGUCAAUGACAAUGAACAAGUAGCUAUAGUGUGGGAAUAUUUUAUAAUAAAUUUGUUCUUACUGCCGACCAAAUGGCAAAAGAAUUCACAGCAAAUGAGAAAGCAACUGAAAAUAAACCUGAAAGUGAAAGCGGUGAAAGGUAUGUUGGUACAUCUUUGACUUUGCUGAUUAAUGUAACAAUCGGAG